UGUAAGUAAUUUGUUCCAGACCGUGAGCCCCAAGGUGCAAAGGGGGGCAAGGGAAGGAGGUUUGGGAGAGAAAAGACACGAAACAAGGGAAGGGGUGGAGAUGGGGAGGAAGACCGGGAGGCCCGAGGGAAGACGGAGACGGAGAGGGGAUGCUUGGAGCUGUAAAAAGAGGACAGGUGCCUCGUGGAAGGACAGGUGGUGAUGCAGCAGCCUAGAUAGCACCUUGAGGUCCUCCCUGGGAGACCCGAAGGCAUAUGAUACCUUCUCCUAGGCUCCUGGCCUGCGCUGAAUGGGGAGAGGUGGUCCAAUCUGCGCGAGUCUCUUCUUUCUUUCCUUCCUUGAUCCCUCAUUCCGCCUCCCCCAACCCACCCAGUUCAGUCUGGUUCCCGGGGGGUAAAACGGAACCCUGAUCCAGCCGCAAGCUGCUACCGUUUUGUCCGACUAAGGUAGCGAUCGAGAAUAACCCAGGGGAUCCGGGAGGUACAGGCUCAAGACCCGUGCACCCCAUUAUUGGCUUGGGUGCAUUUGUGUGCAAAAUAGGCAUAACCCAGGGGAGUUCUCGGACUCCCUGGGAGGAGGUCGGGCCAGAGGGUCUUUAACCCAAGGGCUGGUGGGUGCUACUGCAGCAGCAGGUUUCCCGGAGGCGUCAGGCGGCGGCGGCGGCGGCGGCUGUGACUGAGGGAAAGAAGUUUGGAGGCACAGCAGCCACCUCCCGUGCGUCCUCCCCUCUGCUCUCUGCUACCUCUUCCCCACUCCCCUGUCCCUCCCCUCGUAGCUCCCGUGGCGGCGGCGGUGUCUGGGCGGCCGCUGCCAGGGACAGGACAAAGGCUCAUUAACACGUGAUGGGACCAGAGCUUUCAUAAUGGGACUGGAGAGAGAGCGCGCAAGAGAGACAGACACAGAAAGCGAGCAGGAGGAGAAGGAAGGAAGGGAGAAAAAGGGAAAGAAGGAGACCAGGAUCAGGCUGAGAAGUCACCAUCCACAAUCUUUGGCAAGACUCCCAGAGGAACUGAGGGUACCGGAUCCCCCGCGGAGGACCAGGGGAUGAUAAGGGUAAGGACUGGAAGAGUUCCACGGGCAAUACUUUUCUGCUUCCCACCCCUGUGGUGCUGACCAGGGUGAGCCCUAAAGCGACUAGUGCGUGCUUUUCUUGUUCAGUAUAUGCGUGUGUACAUGUUCAAAUCAUGCAUCCAUAUGGUUAUUUAAAUAUCUAGCUGUCAGUCGACUUUAAUGUUCCUUUCGGUGGUCUCCUUGUCUUUUCUUUUUAGGUUUCUAAUGCCCUUCUCAUUUCUUUAUUAAGUCUAUCUGUAUGCCUCUGUAUAUGGUUGUAGAAAAUAAAUAGGAAAUGUUUGCUAAUUGGGUGCUUCGG
rnacentral:lncRNA from 1 species